rnacentral:rRNA from 1 species
GUGGCGAACGGGUGAGUAAUGUAUCGGAACGUACCUUUCAGUGGGGGAUAACGUACGAAAGUUACGCUAAUACCGCAUAUUCUGUGAGCAGGAAAGCAGGGGAUCGCAAGACCUUGGCGCUGAUUGAGCGGCCGAUAUCAGAUUAGCUAUUGGUGAGGUAAAGGCUCACCAAGGCGACGAUCUGUAGCGGGUCUGAGAGGAUGAUCCGCACACUGGAACUGAGACACGGUCCAAAACUCCUACGGGAGGCAGCAGUGGGGAAUUUUGGACAAUGGGCGCAAGCCUGAUCCAGCCAUGCCGAUGAGUGAAGAAGGCCUUCGGGUUGUAAAGCUCUUUCAGCCGGGAAGAAAACGCAUGGGUUAAUACCCUGUGUGGAUGACGGUACCGGAAUAAGAAGCACCGGCUAACUACGUGCCAGCAGCCGCGGUAAUACGUAGGGUGCGAGCGUUAAUCGGAAUUACUGGGCGUAAAGCGUGCGCAGGCGGUUUGUUAAGAUAGGCGUGAAAUCCCCGGGUCAACCUGGGAACUGGGUUUAUGACUGGCAGGCUAAGUAUGGCAAAGGGGGUGGAAUUCCAGUGUACAGUGAAAUGCGUAAAGAUG